GGCAAUGUGGUGUAGUGGUUUGAGCGUUGGACUAUGACUCUGAAGAUCAUGGUUCAAUUCCCACUGGGCCA